UUAACACUUCCCUUUCAAAGAGCAUAUGGUGUCUAAUUUCGCUUUAUAAGCAGUUGCCGAUGCGGUCGUAAGACUGAAGACAUAUCCUUUCCUUGUUCAGUUUUACAAUCGGAUGUGAAGCAAUUUCUAAUAUUGCAAACUCAACAAUUAUAAAGUAUCAGUAGGAUAUUCUGACAGACUGAAUAUUUGGAUGACAACGUGUAAUGUACAUCUAUAGAAACGCGUUGAUAAAAGUGAACAAAUUUUUGUCUAGUGCAGAAGCAACGUGAUCUUCCUUUGACAAUUUUCUACAGUUAAAAAUUGGAGACUUUUAUUUACUAAAAAAAUAUCGGACAUUUUUUAUAAAAAACAAAUUUUAAUAAUUUAUUAUAUUCACA